rnacentral:lncRNA from 13 species
AUCAUUUGAGAAGGUUUAAAUCCAAAAUUCUGCAGCCCACCUGGUUAAGAUGCAGUGAUUUGAUGGCACAAGUGAGCCCAGUCAACAGACGUAAGAUGACAACGCCUGGAUUGGACCUGUGCUGCUUCCUGUGUGAGGGAGGGUCCUACUCUAUGGAUGUUGCAGAGCAUGAACAUGCAGGAGCAGAUCACUGCCUUGAUGUUUGCAGAGAACGACAGAGUGUUGCCCAGGGUCACGCCAAGAUUCUUUGCAAUCUGGGAGGGUGACAGAGUGUAACCAUGGUCCUCACACCUCUACAACCCACACCAUGGUCCUCACACCUCUACAACCCACNNNNNNNNNNGGAAGGGAAGACAUGGGUGUGUUUCAGUUCAGUUGGGAAGGGAAGGGAAGACAUGGGUGUGUUUCAGUUCAGUUGGGAAGGGAAGGGAAGACAUGGGUGUGUUUCAGUUCAGUUGGGAAGGGAAGAAAAGACAUGGGUGUGUUUCAGUUCAGUUGCUGCUCUGUGUGUUUUGGUUUCAUUGCAGAUAACGAGAACAGGUUGGAGGAGAAAAAGCCAGCAUUGAUUUUGUUUGCUGGGCAGGCGUUUCUCCAUUACAGAGCUUGGUCGAUAAACACAGGGCUGAGCAGAAUGGGAGGAGCGGUGUGUGUGUGUCAUUCAUUACGAUGAUGAACAAAUAAACACACACACUAUCCAGAAUGUGUGUUUAAUUAUAAUUGUUGCAAUCCGAACAGAAAAUAUUUAGUUGGUUUCUGCAGUUUGCUGUCUUCAGGGCUGUGGAAUCUGCUUAGAUCAGCUAACGACUGGCCUACUCGUUUAUUACAGAGACUUACACACACACACACACACAUCCACGCCAAGAUUGCGAGGGAUCAAUAAGGUUCUAUUUAUGAAUGAUGCUAAAUGAGGCAAACACAUAUUUUGUGUGUGUGUGUAUAUGUAUUGUGUGGCCUCCACCUCUAUACCUCCCCAGUAUGACCUCUGACCUCUCACCCCUAGAGAUGCCCAGUCUUUGGCCUGUUGGUCCAGGUUGAAACCGAACACAGUUUCCAUUACUGUCUCAACCCUGUAGACAACUGUCUCUCCACCUGCCACACACAUUUUGACAUUUUAGUCAUUUAGCAGACACUCUUAUCCAGAGCGACUUGCAUUCAUCUUCAGAUAGCUAGGUGGGACAACCACAUAUCACAGGCAUAGUAAGUACACCUUUCCUCAAUAAAGUAGCUGUCAGCAAAGUCAGAGAUAGAAAGGAGAGAGGGGGAGAGAACAGCUUGGACUGGGCAGAGCUGACAUCCCGUAGGGGUGGGAGGACCAAAAUACCAGGGGUGGCAGAACAGAGUGCUGGAGUUGGGGUGUAGGGUUUGAGCAUAGCCUGAAGGUAGGGAGAGGCAGGUCCGUUUUCUGUUCUGUAGGUAAGCACCAUGGUCUUGCAGUGGAUGCGAGCUUCGACUAGAAGCCAGUGGAGUGUGCAGAGGAGCGGGGUGACGUGGGAUCAUUUGAGAAGGUUUAAAUCCAAAAUUCUGCAGCCCACCUGGUUAAGAUGCAGUGAUUUGAUGGCACAAGUGAGCCCAGUCAACAGACGUAAGAUGACAACGCCUGGAUUGGACCUGUGCUGCUUCCUGUGUGAGGGAGGGUCCUACUCUAUGGAUGUUGCAGAGCAUGAACAUGCAGGAGCAGAUCACUGCCUUGAUGUUUGCAGAGAACGACAGAGUGUUGCCCAGGGUCACGCCAAGAUUCUUUGCAAUCUGGGAGGGUGACAGAGUGUAACCAUGGUCCUCACACCUCUACAACCCACACCAUGGUCCUCACACCUCUACAACCCAC